rnacentral:misc_RNA from 1 species
UUUCCGUAGGUGAACCUGCGGAAGGAUCAUUAUUGAAUAAACCUGAUGUGGCCGUUAGCUGGCUUUUCGAAGCAUGUGCUCGUCCGUCAUCUUUAUCUCUCCACCUGUGCACAUUUCGUAGUCUUGGAUACCUCUCGAGGCAACUCGGAUUUUAGGGUCGCUGUGCUGUACAAGUCGGCUUUCCUUUCAUUUCCAAGACUAUGUUUUUAUAUACACCAAAGUAUGUUUAAAGAAUGUCAUCAAUAGGAACUUGUUUCCUAUAUAACUAUACAACUUUCAGCAACGGAUCUCUUGGCUCUC